rnacentral:rRNA from 1 species
AUGCUGUGCGGCCAGUUCCUGCUCUACGUGGUUGCAGCUGUAUCUGGAUCCGGUUCAGAGUUCCAGAAGAGAGCCCAUGGAGCUUUCAACCAGGAGUUGAUUAGGGGCGUUCCUCCCCGCACUGCAGUCCUUGGAACGUUCGCGUCUACGCCCUUCAUCCUGCUAAUUUUAGCCGGUUCUCUGGUGCAAUGCAUGAUGUCGAAAAAGAUUGGUUCUGUGAUGGUGGAUGUGGGGAUAUUUGGCUCCAGUGCGAUACCUUGCUUUGUGGUCAUUCCAGCUGUAGUACUGAGUAACUGGAGGGAGGACCAGAUGUCAAAGAAAAACAUGACUCACAUUGCAGACUGUUGA